GUCUUCGUGGAGUAAUCUGGAAACUCACUCCUCACAUGUAAGGAUUGCAUUGUGAAAGUUGCACGGGAGAGUUGGCGGUUCAAGCCCGCCCGAAGGCA